ACACCCUCCCCUUCUCUCUUUCCCCGUCUCCUUUGUUUCUCAGCUUCUGUCUUCUUUUACUUACACUUACACUCCUACCUCGGCCCUCUUUUUCCUUUCUCUCUCUCCCCUCAUGCAAACACUCUCUUCUCUGUUUAUCCCUCUGUCUCUCCUCUCCCUCCACAUCUUUCCCAGACAGACUCGACAGGUCACUAGUUAAGGUUCCUCAGUCAUCGUUAGAGGGGGCAUUCCCUUGUGUAAGGCCCGCCCCCCAGUGACCAUACAAGGUAACAGUGGAAUGCAUGGUUUGGCUGUCCAUCUGCUUCAUAAGAGAGACACACAGAGAGCAGAGGGUGUACCACACUGAUGAACUAUACUAUCAGUCUGAAUGCAACUUCAGCUCACUGGUAAAAUACUGAAGCUGUGAAAGUAGACCUGCUCCAGACAACGACAUGACAGGCAGUGGACCUCAUCAGUGCAGCAGUUAUACCGCCUGCCAGCUGCAGAUGACAGCUCCCAGCAGCACCUCAGCUGACCUGCAGAGGACUUAAUAAGGAACCAGUCGUGGACCAGCAUCCAUGACUAGGGCCAAAUCUGCAAUGGGUGUUAAACCAAGAGGAAUGUCGGGAGGUGCAGCAGAAACAGACAAGGUGUUGCUGUUGAGAUCAUGGAGAUCAAAGAUGGAGAUCCAACAGUCUGCAACCGUGGUAAGAGAACAGCUUCAAGCUGUACAGAGCGUUGUCUCUUUUGAACUUAUGCUUUUGUAAGUUUCAGAACAAAAGAGUGUUUAAAACAUCUGCACAUUUGACAUAAAUCUUCCAGAAUAACAUUUCAUCUACUGAGCUCACAGGAAGCUAUUACCACCACUGCCUCAACUGUACAGUCCAGAGCUUUAGCCUUACAUUCAUUCUGGGUGAUAAAGUAAAGAAAUAAAGUUCAGCUCCAAAUGAGCUGACAUACCAAUAUCAGCUGUGUCCAUAAGUUCUUUACUCAUUUUUUUUAAAUUUACAAUUCAAAGUAAAUUGGACGUAAAGUAUUUGCCAAUUGUUGGUGUGUAAGUGUCACACCAUGUGUGACAUACACACACACACACACACACACACAGUGACACAUCCAUCCAUCACAGAUCAGUAUCUCCUGUUACUGAACCUGUCUAGUGCUGUAGUGUUUGGUAGUGUAUCGGAGUAUGCCUCAGCUAGGGUUAGGACCAGGAACCUUCCUGAACCCUGCGUCAUACAGAUGAAUCAAAAAGGUCCAAUCUCACACAUAUUUGCUCUGACGUUAUUACACUGAGCCCUUUGGAAUGUUACAUAUACACAUAGCUGGCUUUCAGAGUCUGAAUUUAGGCAAGGAAGUAGGCAAGGUAUUCUAGGUAAUAUUUUGAAACCUUCAUGGUUUAAAGAAAUGUUAAAUGUUAAUUGUUCACUGCACUACAACAUAGGAUGUGGAACACUAGCCUCCUGUGCCAACAUCAUAUGACCUGUAUUGCCAUUUCCCACCUCUACUUCUACACCUUUUACCCUUCCUCACCACAAUAAUCACAUGAACCAUCUCUGGAUGUCAGAGUUACUCAAGCAGGGUAACCAGGAACACAAGAAACAGGACCCAAAUGCACACUCUGAUGCUGAACUGCUGCAAUACAACAGAUUUAAUUAUCAAAUGAAGGAUAUAAAAGCACACUGAAGGCAUACUGUGAACAAAGAGGCAAGCAAGAGUCAAAACCAGGAAAGCAGUCCAACAUAGACAAACAAAUCCAAAGUCCAUGAACAGGCAAAGUCCACAAAAACAUUAAAGAAAAAAGUUUAUUGUGUCUGUAAACUACAGCAUUUAUAUUAGGCUAGUAAAAAAUAUUUAGACUCAUUUCCAACUAUAAAAGAAAGAAAGUAUUAGGCUGCACUGUGGAGACUCAAUUGUUUUAGGGUUUUUUUGCCAAAGAAACAUCAGUUUGUCAGUCAACCAUGUUUUUUGUUCACAGUUUGGAGGUAGGAAGUUUGAAAUUUAAACUGUGGAACUGUGUGUGUGUGUGUGCGUGUGUGUGUGUGCGUGUGUGUGCGUGUGUGUGUGUGUGUGUGUGUGUGUGCGUGUGUGUGCAUACAGUCACAAAUGUCUGCUUCUACAAUGCCUCUAUUUCGUGUUGUGUUUCAGAUAUCAGAGACAGCAUAUAAUUGGCAUGUAAUGGAGAAGUGAGUAUCACACACGCACACACACACACAAUGUGUGUGUGUGGAAUGUAAGAGGGAGCAGCAGCAACAGGAAGUUGGUAUUAUAGCGAUCUACAGGGUUUUAAGUAAUUUCCUGUUUAUACCUCCCCAGCUAGAAUGUUUGUGUGCUCUCUCUCUGUCUCUCUCUCACUCACACACACACACACACACACACACACACGCACGCACGCACGCACGCACGCACGCACGCACGCACGCACGCACGCACACACACACACACACACACACACUGUCAUCAUAUCUGAACAUGGUGUCUAAACCGACUCCAGUCCACUUCCUGGUCCUAUUCCUGUGGCCCAUGGUGCAGUGCUGCAUCUCUGGUCAGUUGGUAGUCUGAGAUGAAGCACUGUAGCUCGGGACAGAGGACAGACAUUCCAGUCUGCUCUGCUCACAUCCAAUCCAGAGCCACUGAGGACUCUAAAGUGUCUGUGAAUGGUUGUCUGUCUCUAUGUGACAGGAUGUACACCGUCUGUCAGGUUCAGCUGGGCUCCAGCCCCCCUGCAACUCUCCUGAAGAUAAAUUUGAAUAGAUAAUGGAUUGAUAGGAAAAUAUCAUUCUUCAUUCAUUUGUACAAAAUAAUAACUUUAGAGUCUUCAUUUAAUAUUUCAGAUGAAUGUAGUUUACCAUAGCACACAUCAGAUUAUAUGCCGAAUUCCACGAUUAAGGUGUUUCAACAGCAGAAGAUGGAAAGCAGAAUAGAGGUGUGACUGUUUCUAUGUCUGAUGUGAUGAAUAACGGAUCAGAUCAGAAGAGGAGGAGCUCACUGACCUCAUUUUUUUUCUUUUCCUCUCUCCUAGGGUCCAGUUUUCCCAGGAAUCCCUUGACCUAUCAGAAAGGGGGAUUCCUGGAAAUACUGUUCUUGGGGGCGGGGUUUAUCAGCAAUUCCAUUAACAGUGUUAUACUAUAAUUAUGUGAGGUGUGUUUAAUCUUGUUCUAAGUUUAUAUUGAAUGAGUUUUGACAGAAUUUAGUGUUUAGUCACGUUUAGACAUGUGGCCUGCUUCUGUGCUACAAUAUGAAAAUUCCAUGUAAAAUGUGUGAUUACUGCUCAUAAAUAAACAUUUAAAGAAAUCAAAAUCUACCCAAAUCAUUUAUCGUCAAAAUGUACAUGAAGUGCCAACAAGUAAAAAUAUUCCAUUCUGCAGUGAAAUGCCUUCGUCUGACAGUCAGUACUAUCAAGAAGGAGGGGUUUUGGUUUUGGGGGCUGAUGAACACUUUUUAUUUUUCACUUUUCAUCACUGAUGUUAGUUAAAGUUAUCUAUAUACAGAGAGAGAACUUGCUGUUGUGCAGCCUUCCUGGUCAUUGUGUUGUUCAUGAAAAGGCAUUUACUUUCCUUUCUUGGAUUUUUGCAAUAAUGACAGUAGUAAUAUGUGUAGUGGACGUCAUGCAGGACCACAGCAGCAGCAGUCACGAUCCACGAGAACCUGCUGGACGACAGAGCACAGAAACUCUGGGGAAGAAGUUUAAAAAUUAAAGAAAUAAAAAAGGCUAAUGUAAAAUACUGCAUUGCUGCAAAUAUAUAUGACACUGUAUGAACUGAGCAGCCUAAUGGGCCUAGCAAUAAUUAAGGAGGUAUGAGGUCAGAAAAACAUGAUCUGUGUAAAUGUGUUCACACAUUAUUGGCUGUAUACUGCAUCAUUACAUAUUACUGACUGUUCUACAUUUUGGUUAUUCGUGUCAGAGAUGAACUGAGAGUCAUGAAAAACACUCUCAGAGUUUGAACAAACACAAAGGCAUCAUGAUAUUUAGAGAAAGAUGGAGAGAGUGAGUCAGCAGAAAUAUCUGAAAUAUCUGAACAGAAAAUACAGUCAUAUUUUCUUAUUUGGAAUCACAAUUGUGUACACUGUAAUUCUAUGUAUUAAUUGUCAUUCACAUCCCAGCUAUGUUACAAAUUUAUUUAUUUUAUUUUAUUUUAUUUGUACAGAGACGUGAUCAUACUAAAGCAAAAAAUAGUGUUAAUACAUCUUAAAUGCCACCAUUGGAUAAUUGUAGAGGUUUGGACGUGACGACAUGAAAUCACAGAGUUAUGACAUGUGACCAAAAGGUGGCCCCAUUGUCAAGCACACAGCUCUUUGUUCAGAGAAACACAGGAAGACACUGGCCUAGCUCCUUAAGAUACUCAUCUUCCAUGAUCACACACAUAGGAUGUCUGUUUAUAAGAUGUUCUCAGAUCUAAACCUGUUGAUAGUGGCUCAUGUUUCCAUAUAUGAGUUCAUUUGUGUUUUCUCCAUCUAUUAGCAAUAGACACAUAGGUAUGAGACACAGAGUCCAGCAGUGUUUCUGUAGGACUCAUGUCUCAUUCCUCUUCUGGUAUAUAUAUGAGGACAGGUGUAGCUGUCACACCUCUCUAUGGACUUGUUUUACUCAUGUAUGUCCGUGGAUUUAAUCUUGAAGAAUGCGCUCUGCUGAAAUUUUCAUCUUCAAAACUUAUCAGAAGAAUUAAUGAAUAUAUUGUUUCUCUUCACCUAAAAGAAACAGACGAAAACACAACCAGGUGAAACACUGAUCUGAAGGCAGUGUGAGUGAGUGAGUGAGUGAGUGAGUGAGUGAGUGAGUGAGUGAGUGAGUUUAACUUAAGAAGAAAUACACCAACAAAAUGACAGAGCCCAUUACACAAAAUGGGCAGAAACAAGAUGAGGCAGGCUGAUGGGAGUUUGGCAGCAUUGCUCCACCCACACACAGGUACAGUCUGUCCUGUCAGAGCAAGCAGAGCAGCACAGAACACGCAGAGGUUCUGCACUAUGAAUAAAAGCCCUGAAAAGUAACAGGCUGAACUCAGAACAGUACUGCAUGUGCAGCAUUAGUGCCAUUCAAGUCAUCGAGACCAACUACUUUCUGCAAAGAAUACAAGAGCUGCUCCACAUCAUCUGAUGAAAGAAACUUUGAUAACAUGUUCUAUGAAUACCACAUCUAUAGUGCAUUAUAUGUUUUUAAAAAAAUAUUUCAUCAAUUUAUCAGUGGAAUAUUGUUGGAUGGUUGAAUGGAUGGAAUCAGUUCAGUCAGUGCAAAGAAAGUUCACAGGAGGCCAAGAUGUCUUAUGCUGGAAGGCUUGAUCAAGAAAAACUGAGGAUUUCUGUCAUGACAUGAUGCCGCCUCAAUGCUGAACAAGCUGUCCUUUCUGAUUCGUCUAUAUGCCCUCAGGACACUGACACUACUACUCUAUGUACAGAAAUGGUUAUUAGUGUACAGACAUUAUCUGACUCUGUAGAUGCUUCUGCAAUAUGUACUUCUCUGGUGCGACUAUGGAGUGAGGCAGCCCUAUCCUCUGACCUUGGUUACCAUAGUAAUGAUCAGAAUGGCGCUCUUUCCUAAACACAAACAUACAGCUGCUCUGUAUCGCAAGGAGAGAAGUCAGUGUCUCCAUAACAAUCUAAGAUUUAACACUGUCACUACAGUGACUUGCUUGACCCUGUGUAACACCAUGUGUGACAUGCUAGAAUAGAAAGUCUCCUCAGAUAUAGUAGAGUGCCAGUUAAAAGUUUGGACAUACCUUCUCAUUCAAUGGUCAGCAUAAGACUGAAAUUUAUCGACUCCCUAUGUCUCGCCCCAACCAGGGUGACCAGCGAGAAACUUAGAGGUUGUGAUUGAUGACUAACUAACCGUCUCUAAUUAUGUUACCUCAGUUGCCUGGUCUUGUCGCUUUAAUGGUCGAGAACACAACGGUGCAGCUGGUUUUCAACCCAAAAGGGGGGUGGCCAAACGUGAAUGUUACCCUGCUGCUCAUUGAGCUCCACUGGCUACCUGUAUCAUUACAUUUAAAUCGCUAAUGCUGAGUACAAAGUAGUCUCUGUUUCUGCACCUACCUAUCCUACCCAUAUGUUACCUCACGACCACUGCACUCCUCCACUGGACGAUGCCUGGCUCUCCCACCUGUUCACUCAAGGCAAUCCAGAUUCUGUCUGUUGUUUCCCGUUGGUGGAACGCACUAAUAUCAGGGGUGUCCCUCAAAGAAGUACUGAGUUGUCACACUACAUCAUGCCCACUUUGGUGGCAUGCCUUUGGUGUGUUUGGGGACCCAGAAGUGUACCAAUGGAAGCAGGGCAUGCUGCUGGUCGGGCUCAGUGGAGUAGAGCUCAGAUGGUAUUCUCAUCAUGGGCCACAAAACACAUGUGGAGGCAGACCAAGACCAUGAUGGUAAAUGGACUGUAUUUAUAUAACUCUUUUCUAGUCCUCUAACCACUCAAAGCUCUUUUACACUACAUAUCUCAUUCACCCAGUCACAUUCAUACACUGAUGGCAUUAGCUGCCAUGCAAGGUGCCAACUGUCAUCAGUUUUAGGAGCUAACCAUUCAUGCAAAUCUUUCAGUAUUUUGACCAAGGAGACUGGACGAGCCGGGGAUCAAACUGCGAACUAGUGGGCAACCCGCUCUACCUGCUCUACGCUAUGAUACCAAGCUUCUGACCAAUAGAUUCAACAAUACCACCUGGAGCAAAUUUCCCCUGUCAUUUGGUGAUGGAAAAACUUCCUUUAAGAGCCACAAAUCUGGACCAGGACCCAGCUCAUGGUGGAUGGACAUCUGCCGUGAUCGGUUGAGUUCAUGGAGGAAGAGAGACACAAAUGCACCUUUAAAACAAAUAACACACCUACACACACUUUUUGAUUGUUUUGUUUUUUCCCCUCUCUUCGACCUCCUUCUUUUGUCUACUGACCAGCUUGUAUUGUAACCUUCUUGCACAAUAAAAAGUGAAAUGUAGUAUUUAUGAGCCAUUAGUUAAAGAAGUGUAGCACAACACAAAAACCCUGUGUCGUCUUCGGCUCCCUCACGUUAUCAUCCAUCUCCAGUUCAACAAUGCUUCCAAGGACAUUUGCAUAACUGGUUCAACAGCUGGGUGACUUUCUCACAUGUGGUCACAUGUUCUGUGUGAGUGUUUUUUGCAUGCAGCUCUUCUUGUCAAUGCACACGUAAAUACCCUAUGUAAAUGUAAGAAAGGUUCAUAGUUGGCACAGAGGAAAGAUUGGUGAGGUAUGGACAGACUGAUUUGAUUUAGCUCUGCAGGUGAAUGAACAAUGACUGUAUGCUCACUUUGCUCUUAUUAAUCACAGCAGCAGUCCACAAAGUCAGACAAAAAGAAACUCUGUGAGUUUUUAAAAGUUAGAAAAAAACACCUCUUUGCUUUCCCAACAGUGUUCUACUCAAACACCCUGAAGCAUUUAGCCUUUACUCUGCUUUCUUCCAAUAGAGCUAUUCUGUAUUCUGCCCAUUCAUUUCAUCCUAACCAAACUUCCAAUCUUCUGAGAUAUUUGUAGCAAUAAACAUUUAACAGAGCAUGAACUCUGUUAACAUUUAUUUUACUGAUGACAAUAAUAAUAAUAUCUAGUACUGUAGGUUAUAUAAUAACAUGCUGAUUUGAACUGAUAACUGGUUGUUCAGUUUCAGCUCCAGCUCUAAUCAACCCUUUAAUUCAAAACCUCCUAAACCAAUGAGCUGCCAGUGCUACUGACUGCACUCUGUCCUGUCUUUUGUGUGGUUGUGAUAUCACAUUGAUUUAGAACAGCUUGUUUAAAUAAUGAUUUAUAAUAAUAAUGAUUAAUGUUUUUCAUGACACCAUUAGGACAGUUAUGGGCAAUUUGUCACUCAAGAUUAAGAUGGCAGAAAAUGAAUCUUAACAUAAUUUCAGAGUCACAGGAGGGACACUGCUACAAAAAACAUGCUUUAAUACAAAAGAUAGCCAGUCAACAAUGAAGUGACAAUACAAACUUUUGACAUUCACUGAGAUUUCAGCUAUGAUUGUAAUGUGAACAGAAACUGUCCUUGUAGUGAACUCAGCAUAGACUCAUGCAGUGCAGUGCAGCUUUUCAAAGCCUCAAAUAAUUCUGGAUGCUUGAAUUGUAUCUGGUAUAAUGAUAGCAAAAGCACAUUGUGAUACAUUUGGAAUUUAAGACAUGUCCUAAUUAACACAAAUUAAACAAUCCAGCUCCAUACAUUUCCAUAUACAGUGCGAAGAAGUUCCAACUUCCAUUCAGUACUUCCAGCACAAAUCAUCCUCCAUCAGCUCCUCUAAAAUCUAUGCAAUGCCUUCUCUGGUAUGUCAACCUCCCCUGUCCUUUAUUUACACAUUAAACAUAUUCUGCCAAGAGCUUCUGUUUCUGUGUAUAUAAACAUAUAACACAUAUCUGAUUUAUGAAUUUUGAGUUACUGAUGAAGAUGAAAUGACUCCUAACUCAGCCCUGUAGUCUGUUAGAUACUUUAUAUUACUAAUUCUACACCAGGUAUGAAGAAUUAUGUGUUCUCACUGACUAAUCCUGAGUUAACACUGAGUGUUGCAGCACUUACUCACGUGUCAGACAAAUGAAUACAUGCAAAUGGAGUGCAGUCUACACAGGUUAAUGCAGUCAACAGAAACUGAGCAUCUCAUCAAAGAAGAUCAUUUACUGAUGUGAAGCUGGUUAGACAACUUUACACACAGAACUGUGUCAAAAAGUGUGUGUGUGUGUGUGCUUGUAGAUUGGAGGUUUCUACAGGUAAAAGCAUGUCCCACAGCAAACACACACACCUGAGGCCAAUCGUCUUUUGAACGUCAGUGAGAAGAUUUGUCAGAAAGGAGCGGCUGAGCAGCACACCCACACACAAAAAUCUGUCCUGCCCCAACUGCAUAGUUAAACCAGCAGAACCUUUCUGGGUGUGGCUGGAUUUUUAGUGACUCACUAUAAUGUCAUGUACACACACACGCACACACUGCACACCUAUAGUCUGUAAAAGAUCCUGCAAACACCGUGAUGUAACAUAAUAGUAAAGACUGUAUGUGCGUUCCACAUGAGAAGGUGUCACAGUGUGACAUGUCAGCUCUCACAUCACUCUCCCUUCACAUAUCCUGCCUUCACCACUGCAGACUAGCUGGCACCUGAAUCAGCACCUUAACACGAGCUAGUUUCAACAUGAGCUACAGCCUGGUUUAACACUAGCUAUGUGUGAGAAGUGACCGUUUGCUCGGAAUCAGCAAUGGCGGCUGCCACUGGCAGUAUUUCUUUAUUGAGAGUAGAGCAAAGAACGACACUGAGGGCAUGUUUUCACUGUUCUGCGGACUGCUUUGACUCCAUCAUAUGAUUUGUGGAUCUGAUUGGUUGAAGUCACCUGUAAUAGACAGAGGUUUCAUCCAAUCACCUGGUCUGUAGUUUUUGAAAGAGUCUACUCUUUUUCAAAUAGUUUCUGACCGACCUUUCAGAUUAGAUAGAAACAGCACAGUGAAAGAAUGUAGCUACAGACUGAACUAAAGGCUAUCAGCUCUCCAGCUCUUUUCUAUGUUUGACUCCAUAAAGAUACAUUCUAUUACAUUUUGCAGUAUUAUGUCUUGUGAUGUCACUAGUUAUUGCUGUAUAAAUGCAACCUUUCAAUUUCACCAAUUCUUUCUAUUCAAUUGAAUUCAGCACAAAAGUAAGAAAUGAAAUGUUCACACUCAUAAACUUUAUUGUUUUUUGUAAAUAUACACUCAUUCUGAAUUUGAUGCAACAAGACAAAAGUUGGGACAGGUUCAACAAAAGACUGAAAGUUGUGGAAUGUCUGAAGCUUCCACAGGUGAACAGUUUCAUUCAGGUAUGAAAAGGGCGUCCUCGAAAGGCUCCGCAGUUCAGAACAAAGAAUGGAGCUAGUGUGAGAGCUGUGCUCCAGUUACUAAAUAAUCAGUUUUUACAUUUAGCUGGAGGGAUUAUAAAUAAUACUCUUAACACUAAAUAAAUGUCUGCAUGUGCUGCAUUUAAAAAUAACAUGCAUAAGUGUUUGUUUUUUUUACUGUGGCAUUUAAGCUUUUCUACUUCCCCCUGUCUAAUUAAGUGUCACCUGCUCUAGGCAAUGAGUCACUGUAAAUACUGGGCGGCACUGUAGAGCCCUAAAUAUGUAGACUUGUUACUAUGACUCGGA